rnacentral:tRNA from 1 species
GGUUCAUUAGCUCAGUAGGUAGAGCAUCUGCCUUUUAAGCAGAGGGUCCGGGGUUCGAACCCCCGAUGAGCCACCA